UCGAGAUCGCACUUUGCCUUUCAUUCUUUCAGGGGCGAAAAAAAUAAGUACCAGUUGAGCACUGAGGUCGAUGUAAUUGACUGACUCGCUCCUUUGGUAUUGCUAGCUUUUCACCAAUAUUUGAAACCAUUAAAUUUUAAUUCCACCAAAGUACGAUUGCCUUUAAUGGGAGUGGAAAUAACAGGGUAAAAAUGCUACACUUCAUUUAAAUACCCAACACGGAUGAGAUCUCAAUUCAGCUCACAAGAUGAAGAUCACUUUCAACUGAAUGGAGACGGAGGUGCCUUUUUGCUAUGAGAUGAGAGCUUGAAAUGAAACUGAAGAUGCCAGAAGAGUAAAGGUUUCUUGAUGUAGGGAAGCUACAUGGUUACACAAAUUAUAGAAGGAAGUCUUCUGUGAAGAACAUAUCUAGUGAGGAGGAAAUAUUAUCUUGCUUAGAAACAGUUGAGAGUUGGCAACAGGAAGAGCAUCUGGUCAUAGAAAAGCUACCUCAAUGAGUUCCAUUUGAACUGUACAAGGAUGGAACAGUAAAUGUUAAAUGGUAAUGAUGAUGAUGAUGAUGAUGAUGAUGAUGUGAUGGUGGUGGUGAUGAAGCCAGAAUAUACCAGCAAAAGUGGUGAGUGUGCUAAGAUUUGGCCUCUUUUUACUGAGAUCCAGGACAAAUCUGAAUGGAUUGAUCUGUAGUGACAUCAUCACUCAAAUAUAUGGAACAUGUUUACAUAUAAUUUCACUGGGUCACAUUUUUGUUGAUGUCAUUACUUAAUUUUAAUGAUUCUUUUACUGUAUAUGAAAUUUUUGCCAUUGGAAAACAAACAGUUCAGGUUCAAACUAGGACAGAAACUGACUACAAAUGUACAGUAAUGUGAAAUGAUAUAUAUUCUAUUAUUGCAGUAAUAGAAGAGCCAAAAAGAGAAAAGUGGAUGGCAAUAAGCCAAAAACUGAAGAAUUAUUGUUUUAUUUUUGUACUAUAAAGGGUUCAUUAGUCAAGGAAAUAAUUUGGUUUAUUGUAGUUAACUA